rnacentral:misc_RNA from 1 species
CGAUGACAUAGCCGACCCGCACGCCGGACUGAUCCAGAUCGAUACCUUUGUCUUCGAGCUUGGGCAGCGACGCAUCCCACAGCGAACGCGACGCGCGCACCUCCGGCUUGUCGCCAUCGGUCCGCGCCANNNUACCAGCCCGACAGCGGCAGUUCGAACAGCGGCUCGCCCAGCGACUGCACGGACCGUUCGGACUUGUCGCUCGAAUCGUCAGGCUGCGCGGCUUCGGCAAUCAGGGUGCGGAGAUAGAAAUUGAGCCGGCGGGCGAAGGCGCGCUCGGUCGAACGCUUGUAGACCGCCGACAGCACGAUCCCGGUGAUGACAAGGAUCAGCACCACCCACGCCGUCGCCGACAGGAACAGUCGUGUUGCGAGGGAUUUAGCAUGCCGAUUCAAAAAAACUUAUCCCAGAACGCUGGCGCAUCAUUCGCGGCAUGGAAUCACACGGGAAAUCCGAACUCUCCAAUGCUA